CCUAGCAUAUUGCAGGGCUUCUUGGCCAUCUCUGCUGAGGAAGAUACUAUAUUGACAACUAUCACUCCUUAUGAUCAUCACCAAGGGGAACUUGUCCAAGGUGAAGUUGGCCCAGCACAUCCUGACUGGAAAAGAGGGAUCCAUGACUUUCAGCCUCUACGAAGUAUCCCAUGAAGUGGGAACCAUGAAGGCUUUGAAUCAUCCCAAUGUAAUUAAAUUAUUUGAGCUGCCCAAGACUGAAUAAACACUCUGUGUUGCCAUGGAGUACACCAGUGGAAGAGAGAUGUUUGAUUACCUAGUGGUUUGUGACAGUAUAAAAGGAGGAGAAUAUGGAGUCCAAUUCUGCUAGUUACGAUCUGCUGUGCAGUACUGUGACUAAAAGUGGAUUGUUCAUAAAGACCUAAAGGCAGAAACUCUGCUCUUAGAGGCUGACAUGAACAUCAAGUUUGACAGAUUUGGGCUUCGGCAAUGAUUUCAUCUUCGGUAACAAGCUAAAUACCAUCUGUGGCAGCCCUCUGGGAGUUUGGCCCAGAACUCUUCCAGGGCAAAACUUAUGAUGGACUUGAAUAAGAGUUGUGAAGAUUGGGAGUCAUCCUAUAUGUACUAUUAAUCUGAGUCCUGCCUUUUGAUGCACAGAAGUUCAAGGAAUCAUGGGAGCAGGUACUGGGUAGAAUAUACCAUAUUCUCUUCUAUUUGUCCACAGAGUGUGAAAAAAAAAGCUAAUCAAGAAAUUUUUCAUUCUCGGUCUCACUGAAAAGGGCAUUUUGUAGUACACUAUGAAAGAGCUAUGGAUGAAUGUGGGCCAAAAGGAUGAAGGGCUUAUGUAAUCCAUUCCCUAACCACAAGGACUUUCAGAGGACUGAGUUGACAGUGUCAUUGGAGUAUAACUGGAAGAAAUUAAGGACUUACUGAUGGGCCAGAAGUACAAUAAGGUGACAGCCACCUGUCUGCUCCUGGGAUGCAAGAGACCAAAGCUGGAGGGCUUCCCCAUCACCCUGAGUCCCCAACAUUCUACUCAUCUGACCAAUAGCGGCACUCCUUCCCCGUCUGAUAAGGGACAGCAUAGUGUCCCUGCCAGCCCCAAUAAUUGUAUUUUCAACAAACAUGCUAGUCCUGCCAUUUCCACUCCAAUUCCCAGAAUACUAAGAGUAGCAGUGCAGAAAAUCAGCAGCUGCAGGAGAUCUAGGAAUCAGAACAGAAAGUCAGCAGCGUGGCCCCCAUGCUUGCCCCUCCUUACCUGUGUUGCCGAGAAAGAGUAUAACUCCUGUCUUCUCCAUGAAUAGUGGCCUUUCCACCAGCAUAAAACAGAGCUUUUAGAAGCAUAAAUCCCUGCUUUUAGAGAGGGCCACCUUUAACCAGUGCUCCAUCCAGACAGCAAAAAGCCUAACUGUGCUAGGAUCUGGGGCUUCCAGGGCUUCUACUGCAGACUGCCUGGCCUAACCCCACCUGUACUAGAACCCCUUUGUGAAGCCCAGCCAGGCCUCUGGGCUUGGUCCUACAAACAGUAACUGUGAGAUGUUUCCAUGCAGCCCCUUCAGCGUGUCCUUGUUGCCACCUUCCCAGCCUACAACAUCAGCAGCAGUGGUAAAACCCAGACUAAACACAUUUCCAUCUGCUUGGCAUCCAAAUGAAAAUUUUUUCACACCAAGCAGCUUCGACAGGUGUGCAACCAGCAGAAUUUGCCCUAUGCGGAGACCCCAGCCUUUCUUUCUGGCAAUAGCCAGGGCUGGCAGGGGGCCACUGGGAGCUUCUUCAGCAAGUCAAUGUUCAAGUUUAUAUGGAGACAUCUGUAUUUCAGGUUGCCAGAGGAACCUAAAUGAACCUGAAAGCAGAAACCUAGUAAAGAUUUUCAAGCCACAUCAUGAACAGCAGAGACAGUGAUAAAAAAGAAACAAUGAGACUGAGUGGAUUUUUUACUCACUACACUUUACAUGGAAUAUGAAGUUCACAACCUCCAUGGAGCCUACUGCAAAAUAUCAAGGUACUGGACAUGAAUGGCUGCCAGUGUGAGCUAAAUAAAAAGCACAUGCUCCUAUGCAUGCACUGCACACCCACCAACACCACGCUGUGGAAAAUGGAAAUUUGCAAGGUGCCAAGACUCUCUCAAUGGGAUUCCAUUUAAGCAGAUAUCUAGCAUUUCCAUAGUCUUCAAAAGCCUUGCCUCCGAAGUAACUGCAACUUAAAAC
rnacentral:lncRNA from 1 species